rnacentral:rRNA from 1 species
UACGAAGGGGGCUAGCGUUGCUCGGAAUUACUGGGCGUAAAGCGCACGUAGGCGGUCUUUUAAGUCGGGGGUGAAAUCCUGGAGCUCAACUCCAGAACUGCCUUCGAUACUGGAAGACUUGAGUCCGGGAGAGGUGAGUGGAACUGCGAGUGUAGAGGUGAAAUUCGUAGAUAUUCGCAAGAACACCAGUGGCGAAGGCGGCUCACUGGCCCGGUACUGACGCUGAGGUGCGAAGGCGUGGGGAGCAAACAGG